rnacentral:rRNA from 1 species
CAAAAUGACUCUCGGCAACGGAUAUCUCGGCUCUUGCAUCGAUGAAGAACGUAGCAAAAUGCGAUACUUGGUGUGAAUUGCAGAAUCCCGUGAACCAUCGAGUCUUUGAACGCAAGUUGCGCCCGAAGCCAUUAGGUUGAGGGCACGCCUGCCUGGGUGUCACAU